rnacentral:rRNA from 1 species
AGAGUUUGAUCAUGGCUCAGAGCGAACGCUGGCGGCAGGCCUAACACAUGCAAGUCGAGCGCCCCUCCUUCAAGCGAGCUUGGAGGAUUGCGGAGCGGUCUCCUGGGCGGGCGAAAGCUCGCUUGACGGACAUCGCUUUGAGAUCAAGCGAGCCUUUAGGGGCUCGCUUGAUGGAGGGGAGCGGCAGACGGGAGAGUAACACGUGGGAACGUACCCUUUGGUUCGGAACAACCCAGGGAAACUUGGGCUAAUACCGAAUAAGCCCUUACGGGGAAAGAUUUAUCGCCGAAGGAUCGGCCCGCGUCUGAUUAGCUAGUUGGUGAGGUAACGGCUCACCAAGGCGACGAUCAGUAGCUGGUCUGAGAGGAUGAUCAGCCUCACUGGGACUGAGACACGGCCCAGACUCCUACGGGAGGCAGCAGUGGGGAAUAUUGGACAAUGGGCGCAAGCCUGAUCCAGCCAUGCCGCGUGGGUGAUGAAGGCCCUAGGGUUGUAAAGCCCUUUCGGCGGGGAAGAUAGAUGACGGUACCCGCAGAAGAAGCCCCGGCUAACAUCGUGCCAGCAGCCGCGGUA